AAUAGAUACCCGGGUAGUCCACGCCGUAAACGGUGGGCACUAGGUGUGGGCAGCAUUCCACGUUGUCCGUGCCGUAGCUAACGCAUUAAGUGCCCCGCCUGGGGAGUACGGCCGCAAGGCUAAAACUCAAAGGAAUUGACGGGGGGCCCGCACAAGCGGCGGAGCAUGUGGCUUAAUUCGACGCAACGCGAAGAACCUUACCAAGGCUUGACAUACACCGGAAACAUCCAGAGAUGGGUGCCCCCUUGUGGUCGGUGUACAGGUGGUGCAUGGCUGUCGUCAGCUCGUGUCGUGAGAUGUUGGGUUAAGUCCCGCAACGAGCGCAACCCUUGUCCCGUGUUGCCAGCAGGCCCUUGUGGUGCUGGGGACUCACGGGAGACCGCCGGGGUCAACUCGGAGGAAGGUGGGGACGACGUCAAGUCAUCAUGCCCCUUAUGUCUUGGGCUGCACACGUGCUACAAUGGCCGGUACAAAGAGCUGCGAUACCGUGAGGUGGAGCGAAUCUCAAAAAGCCGGUCUCAGUUCGGAUUGGGGUCUGCAACCCCG
rnacentral:rRNA from 1 species